AAUAAAAUGCCUGAAAAAGGGUUAUCUUGAUAGGAUAAAUUAUGUAGAUUUAGCCUACUUUUAUUA
rnacentral:tRNA from 1 species